GUGUGGUACGAAAGGAGAGAAAGUUAGCAGUCCUCUAGACAAGGAUGGAAGAGGCCCUUGGGUCGGACAACAUACGUAUGGUUAAGGCGCUGACACUUCUUUUGUGGCAUCUCCCCAUCAUUUGC
ensembl:snRNA